rnacentral:rRNA from 1 species
UAGGGAAUAUUGCAAAUGGGCGGAAGCCUGAUGUAGCAACGCCGCGUGUGCGAUGAAGGUCUUCGGAUUGUAAAGCACUUUUUGGAGGGAUGAGGAAGGACAGUACCUCCAGAAUAAGCCUCAGCUAACUACGUGCCAGCAGCCGCGGUAACACGUAGGAGGCAAGCGUUAUUCGGAUUUACUGGGCGUAAAGCGCGUGCAGGCGGUUUGGAAAGUUGGAUGUGAAAGCUCCUGGCUCAACUGGGAGAGGUCGUUCAAAACUUCUAGACUUGAGAGUGGUAGAGGGAGGUGGAAUUCCGGGUGUAGUGGUGAAAUGCGUAGAUAUCCGGAGGAACACCAGUGGCGAAAGCGGCCUCCUGGACCACUUCUGACGCUCAGACGCGAAAGCUAGGGUAGCAAACGG